GAUGUAUAGAGAGAAUUCCCGCAGGAGAGAGAUGGCAUAUUUCAAAUUGAGACUAUUCGAUCCAGGGGCUGGUCAUCAAGAUGGAGCAGGGUAUAGAGAAGCCAUUAGGGAUGAUACAGAACACCACCAAAGGAGCUCCUUCUGGGAUUCUCUAUUGGCUGAACUCAGCCAGAAGCUGCCAAGGGAGACCCCCACAACUGGAUGCAGCCCACUGAAGUCAGCUUCCUGGGGUGCGUAGCUGAAGGUAGCAGGGAGCAAAAAGAAUCUGAAGGGGAAGUGAACAAUGUAGAGCGUAUCUGUGCUGAAGACGUAAGGAGAGAGUGGAGGUCAGAAGCUGGCAUGGUCCCUGGUGCAUGUAUCAGCCGCUAAAGAAGUGGAGAGUAUGAACAUAAGCAAGAGGAAGUGAUGAGUAUCCCUUCCAGGAGAACUCUAAGAGGCAGUGAGUGAUUUGCUGGGCUCCCAAGCCCUCUGCUCUGAUGACAGCAAAGCCCCAAAUCAUGGUGCCUCCAUCAGUCGGGACCCCUCAGCAGAGCCAGCUUCACAGCUGGAGUGGAUGAAUCAGAACUUUCCCCAUGGGAGCAUUUAUAAAAAGGGGACACCCAGCGCAGAAGAUGUUUUCCAGGGAGAUCUCGGGGAGCCCAACAAGCCAAGAAGAGCAGAGCAAAGCAUUCCAAGGAAGGACUCUAAGUCUGCAACCGAGCACACACGAGGGUAGCCUACGCAUGUACGUCUUGCAGUGAUGGCAAGGAGCAGGAGAAAGAAAGCCCAUCCAAACAAGCAUAUUGGAAGCCUAUGUAUCCCAUAAGCUGACAUCUUGUUGCCCAAAGCAUGUCAUGUGCGUGGUCCAGAGUCAGUGUUGAAGGGCUCUGCAAAAUCACAUGGUAAAGACUGUGGUUUCAGGGAGGAGUGAAGAUUUGUGCGCAUUGCUCCAAUUGACAACCAUGGCACUAGGCUCAGGCCACACUUCUUCCUAACAAGAGAGCAAGUCAAAGCGUGGUUAGUUAAAGUCCAUACAAAAACUCACUUUAACAGGCCUCCUCUGGAUUGAACAGCUGAUAUUAAGUCAUAAGGUACCACAUCAGAAAGAUACUGGGUAUCUUUGGUUCAGCAAUUCCAUCACCAGGGACUUUUUCAUCCUAAGGAAAUCACUGCACGGUGGACAAAGAUAUAUGCAUAAGGAUGCUCCUUCUGGCCAAAGACCAAAAACAUAACUGGCCAUCAGUAAAAGCCAAGUGAGUAAACUAUGGUCUAUAUAUGCAAUGAUCAAAGAAAUAAAGGAAAAUAUAUAAUUCUCUAGAAAGUAUCAAGUAAUAUGGAAGGAAACUAGGCAGGGGAGGAGAAUGGGUGUGGGGGCAACAAGGAGAGGCCAGAGUGAGAAGGUGAGGCUGUGACCUCAGAAUGAUGAGGUGUGCGGGGAGGAGAUUCCAGGCAGUGGGACAGCAUGUGCAAAGGGCCAGCGUGUGUGAGGGGUCCUGAUGUCACCAACACUACCACUAGCCCUCCUCCAAGUCCUCUCCCAUGGGUCACAUGAGCUCAUAUGGUUGCAAUCCAAUUUCAAAAAGGUCUCCUAACUUACCAGGCUCAAGCUGUUACUGAGAGUCCACCUUGACUUCUCAGGGGUCACUCCAUUUUCCAAAGACCAACCAAUUAGGUACAAGAGCAGAAGGGCUGUGGCCAAACAGACUUGCUGGAAUUGCUCUUUGAAAGGGUAUGAGCCAAGAUUUUUUUAUUUUUUCUUUUUUUAGACAGAGUCUCACUCUGUUACCCAGGCUGGAAUGCAGUGGCACGAUCUUGGUUCACUGCAACCUCCGCCCUCCAGGUUCAAGUGAUUCUUCUGUUUCAGCCCCCCAAGUAGCUGAGACUACAGGCACAAACCACCACGUCCAACUAAUUUUUGUAUUUUUAGUAGAGACGGGGUUUUGCCAUGUUGGCCAGGCUGAUCUCAAACUCCUGACCUCAGGUGAUCCCUCUGCCUUGGCCUCCCAAAGUGUUGGGAUUACAGGUAUGAGCCACCCCACCUGGCCCAAGAUUUCUAAUAGGUGGGUGCUACAGGUUGAAUGUGUCCCCCAAAGUUGAUGUGCUGGAAACUUGAUCCCCAAUGCAACAGUGUUGGGAGGUGGGGCCUGAUGGGAGGUGUUUAAUGAGGGCUCCACUUUCAUUAAUGAAUUAAUGCCAAUUAUAAAAGGGCUGACUCGAGGCUGCAAGUUUAAUCUCUUGCUCUCUCACUCUUUCUCGCCCUUCCACCUUCUACCAUGGAAUGACACAGCAUGAAGGUCCUCACUAGAUACAGCCCCUCAAUCUUAGACAUCCCAUUCUCCAGAACUGUAAGAAAUAAAUCUCUGUUCCUCAUAAAUUACCCAGUCUCAGGCAUUCUGUUAUAGUAAUACUUCAUGGACAAAGACAAUGUGUGAGCAGAGGGAAGGGAGUAACCAAUGGGACCAGAGACAGCCUGGGAUGGAGGAGAAGAGAGAGGUUUUGCAAAUCAGUUGAGCUGGCUUUGCCUGGCCCCACCAUUUACCCACUUUAUGACCAAAGGCCUGUCACUUCACCUCUUGGAGCCUCAGUUUCCCCGUGAAUAUGAGAAUCACACCCACUGCUAAGGUCAUAAAGAUUCAAUGGCAUGCACAGUACUUGGCACAUUGGAUAUACUCAACUGAUGGUAGCUAGAUAUUGUUGUUGCUGUUUCCUCUAUCUCAUUCUCUUUUCCUGACUUCAUAGAACAAAACCACAAUGCACUUCAACCAGGGCCCAAGCUUCUAUUGAGCAUGAAGCAGUCUUUGUUUUCCCUGAGCCCUCUUUUGAAUUUUAGAUUAUAGGUUUGAUUAAGGAUUCAAGAUAUUAGAAUAUGAGAAUGCAAGUAACAUUCUGUUUUUCCUGCUUGUAGAUAUUGAUUUUCUGCCCCCAUCUUUCUAUUCCAUGGAGUUUGAUGCCCAGGGACACAUGUGGGCUGAAACAGACUGCCUCACCCCCACACACUGAGGCAGGCCCAAGCCUCUAAUUAUAGGGCAAGUUUAGGGUGGUCAGGCAGUCAGUACCUGGGUAAAGUCAGGCCUGAAUUCAUUCAUUUAUUUGCUAAGAAACAUAUGAAUUCAUUUAUUUGCUAGUGAACCCAGCAUUUACUGUGAGCAGGCAGUGUACUGGGAGUGGAGAAGCAGUAGACAAUACCCAGCCCCAAAGAACUCACUAUCGUAAAUACCAUGAUGAUAAUAAUGACAGCUAUUUACUAAACACUUGCUACAGGCACUGUCCUUUUAUUUUCUAAUUUGAUUAUCCUAACAGUCAACAUCCUGCCACCUGCCUACAUCUCCCCAGGUACCUGACUGUGAUGUAAGACAGGCUAGAGCCCUCAGGGGAAAAGAGGUGUCUUCCCAAAGAACAGACAUGGCAAAGGGCUGGCAUGGUGGUCACCUUCGUCUGCUGGGCCACACACUCAGAGAGGCAUGAGUAGAAUGAGACACCAAAGAGGGCCUUGCAGUGACUGCUCACCAAAGAGGGGGCAGUUCUCAUCUCCACAUUCCCACCCUGGACCACAGCAUGCUUGGUCAGAGUCUCUGGGAUUUGGACAGUAGUAGCCUUUGGUCACUUGGAGUGGCUCUGUGCUGCAUGACACAUAUCACUUUUUACUCGGAGACAGUGAGAUGAACAUGGAAAGUUCCCACUCUCUGCCAGGCCUUAGGAAGCAGAGGCAGGUUGAGGAGCACCUGACCCCAGCAUGGGAGAAGGGAGGCCAGACAAGUGAACUGAUCUUUACAGUGUGGAAUGAUGGAGGUGAUAGUAAAUAUCUGGAUGUCUAUUCAUGUGCCCAUUUUAUGGGAAAGCAGACUGAGGCUCCAAGAAGUUAAGCCAUUUGUUCUCAUUCUCAAAGCAAGCAUAAAGUAAGAUGGGGGCUUGAACUCAGAUCUACUUGAUAGGAACAGUCAAGGGCUUAUCCAUUCCCUCCUACGUGUCAAGUGUGGUUGGGACCUUAGACUAAUAAGAGGAAAUUUGUGUAGUUCUCACCCUCAGGGGCUGAUAGCAGACUCAAAUUGCCAAGAGCAGGACUCUGCGAUUAUGUUUACUUCUAAAAUUCUUUCUUAUUUCAUUGGUUUUGGCAUAUGUAUGCACCUAUAAAAGCAUCAACACAUUCAAGAUCAUAAACAUAUGAUCAAUUGUGCCCCAGAAGUCACCUUGUCAUCUUUUCCUCUCAUCAUUCCCCACUUCCACUAUCACCCUGCAAUCCAGGCAACCACUGUUCUGCUUUCUGUCAGUAUAGAUUCCUUUGCUUUUUCUAUAAUUCUAUAUGAAUGGAAUCAUAUAGCAUGUAAUCUUUUGUGUCUGGCUUCUUUAACUCAGCAUACCUUUGAGUUUUGUCCAAGUUUUUGCAUAUGUCAACAGCUCAUUCCUUUUUAUUGCUAAGUAGUAUUCCAUUGCAUGAAUGUACUGCAGUCUGUGGAUCCAUUCACCUUUUGAUGGGUGUUAUUUAGAUUAUUUCCAGUUUUUGGCUAUUACACAUAGAGCUGCCAUGAAUAUUGAUGUACAGUCUUUGUAUGAAUAGAUCCCUUCAGUUGGAUAAGUAUCUAGGAGUGAAAUGGCUAGAUCACAUGGUAGCAGUAUGUUUAAGUAUUUUUAAAACCACAAACCAUUUUUCAAAGAGGCUGUACAGUUUGCAUGUCUAACAGAAGUGAAUAAGAAUUCUAGUGUCUCUCUGUCUUUGCCAACACCUGAUAGGAAUAGCCUUUUACAUUUUGGACUUUCAAAUCAGUAUACAAUGGUAUAUCAUUGAGAUUUUAAUUUGAAGUAUCUUAAUGGCUAAUGAUGUUGAGCAUCUCUUCAUUGCUUAUUUGCCGUCUGUAUAUUGUCUUUGUUCAAGCAUCUAUUCAAACUUUUUCGCCCUUUCUCAAAACUAAGCAUCUUAUUUUGAGAUAGUUGUAGCAUCAGUUUUGAGCAUGUGCCCAUUCUUUAAUCAGGCUCUUUGUUUGCUUGUUAUCAAGCUUUAAUAGUUCUUUACGUAUUCUGGAUAAAAGUACUAUAUCAAAUAUGUGUUGUGAAAAUAUUCUCUCUAACUCUGUGCAUUUUUAGAUUCCUUUAACAAUGCCUUUCAAAGAGCAAAAGUUCUUAAUUUUUAUGAAGUCCAAUUUAUCCAUAUUUUCUUAUAUGGAUAAUGGUUUUGGUGUCAUAUCAAAGAUCUUUUUGCCUAACUCAGGGUCACAAAGAUUUUCUGAUAUGCUUUCUUCUAGAAGUUUUAUAGUUUUGGGUUUUAUAUUUCGAUCUUUAAUCAAUUUUAACCUAAUUUUUAUUUUAUUAAGUAUGGACAAAAGGUAUUAAUUCUUUGGAUAUGAAUAGCCCAUUUUUCCAACAUUAUUUGUUGAAAAUACUAUCUUUCCACCACUAGAUUGCCGAGGCACCUGUGUUGAAAGUCAACUGAUUGUAUAUGUAUGGGUAAAUUUCUAGAUUCUAUUCUGUUCCAUUGAUAUAUUGAUCUUUUUGCUAAUACCAUACUAGGAAUAGGAGGAAACUUGGACUUAGCCUUUGAAAUCAGGUACUGUAAAUAUAUUUUCAAUUUUAUUUAUCUUUUUAAAGAGGUUUGGGUUUUUUAGGUUCUAUACUUUUCCAUACAAAUUUUAGAAUCAUUGUAUCUUUUUUUCUACCAAAUAAUAAAAGCCUGCUGGGAUUUUGAUUGGGAUUAUGUUGAAUCCAUAGAUCAAUUUAGGGAAAAUUGGCAUCUUGAUGACAUUGACUCUUUUGUUCCAUGAACAUGGUAUACCUCUUCCUCUAUUUUGAUGUUCUUUAAUUUCUCUUAACAAUAUUCCCUAGUUUUCAAUAUGAAGGUUUUGCCCACCUUUUCUCAGAUGUAUCCCUAGUUCAUAUUUUCACAUGCUAUUGC